CAUACCGCGUGGGUGAAGAAGGCCUUCGGGUUGUAAAGCCCUUUUGUUGGGAAAGAAAUCCAUCUGGUUAAUACCCGGAUGGGAUGACGGUACCCAAAGAAUAAGCACCGGCUAACUUCGUGCCAGCAGCCGCGGUAAU
rnacentral:rRNA from 1 species